rnacentral:lncRNA from 1 species
UGCGCUGCUGGGCGAGGAGGAGCUGGAUCCACAUGCGCUGGUCCUCGAUCUGCUUGUGGAUAGGCGUGAGGAGUCGCUGAAGCGGAGCUCGAGCAGCGCCGGCGCGGGCGUGAAGACGACGGCGGGAGGAGGUGGAGCCCGAGCGGGAGGAUCUGGAGCCGCAUCUUAAGUAUUGAAGCUACCCCGGCGACGCAACGAUGCUUGAUGUGGAGCGGCGCCUGAGCCGCGGAGUCGGCGGUCAUAUCCAUGGCGACGGCGACGCCGCCAAAGGUACUCUUCCUCCUCUGGUUCAAUUCAACCCCUUUCUUUCAUGGAUUAAAGCAUGGAGUACAUUCAGUUCAGCCCCUUGCACUGAUUUGGAGGUAGCAGUAGCAAUAGCACUGAUUUGCAGUGAUUUAGAGUAGUUGCAGUAAAUCUGAAUUACUCCAGUGUGCAGAUUUGCAGUAAACUUGAAUUACACCAGUGUGGAUUUGCACUGAUUUGGAGUAGCUUUGAUGCAAUAGGCCUGCUUAUUUGAUCUACAGUUGGGAAGGAGAUUAAUAGGCCUGCUUAUUUGAAGAUUUAUAGUUGCACAAGAGUAUUCAAUUAGUUGGCAUACUCAUCAUUUCUACUUGCACAAACUGUAUCCAAUUAAUUGACAUCCUCAGCCACAAGAGUAGCUAUUUUUUAGUCCCAUCUUCAAAUUUUUGAGGGUUGCCCAAGAGUAUCAAAUGACUUGGCACCCUCAGCCUUUCUAGUUGCACAGGAGUAUUUAAUUAGUUGGCAUCUUGAGCAUUUUCUAGUUACACAAUAACAUCUAACUAGUUGAUAUCCUCAGCCUUUCUAGUUGCACAAGAGUAACUACUUUUAGUUGGCAUCCUCUGCAUUUUGUAGUUGCAUAACUAACAUAAUAUCAAGUUAGCAUCAUCAACCUUUUUUAUCCAGUUUUUUCUGAAGAAGAACAAAUAUUUUAUAUGCAGUGUUAACUAAUCACCUUUGGCACCUUUUGUUUGCAAAACCUUAGGUGAUCACGUCGGAAUGUGAUCACCUUUGACACCGUUUUUUGAUGACAGGAAAUAGAAUUUCAUCUUCUUUUUUGUUUCAUUUUUAGUAUAUAAUACAUCCUAUAGAACAUAUUCCCCCUAUUGCAAUUUGUGUGAGACAAGACUACUUGUACGCUCGUUUUUAAUACUGUUCUUGUGCUUUUUCUAGUCUCGUUUUUAAUACUUUUAAUACAGGAAAUAGAAUUUCAUCUUCUUUGCUGCACAAAUUUGCAGCAAAAGUUGGCUUUGGAUACAAGUUUAGCUGCACAAUUAUAUGUUUAUAUUUGCACAAACAACAAAUCCAGUCUUUUUCUAUGGAAGAGAAGUGAAGUGGUGGUUGGUAGUGGUCGGCUCGUCACCUGGCGGAUCUGGGAGCGAUCGCUCGCGUGAUCGAACGGCCACGAGCCGGUCGCCCGUUUCAGUCAGUUAGUGGCCGGCCACUUUUUAGACUUUAGGUUUUCUAUUUCAUAUAGUCCGUGUGUUGGUUGAACACAUUUUUUGCAGGAAAAGAUAGACUGAAUGUAGUGUCUGCAAAUAGAAGCCCAUAUUUGUGCCAACUAAACAUGGAUCCAAAACCAUCUUUUCCUGCAAUGUGUGCAACCAACAACCAAAAGACUAGAACAAAUGGACUCCAGUCUGGGCUGUUUUGUUACACACAUUUGCAUAAAAAGGUUGGCUUGGACCCAUGCUUAGUUGCAUAAAUAUAUUCUUCUUUUUGCAGAAACAGUACACCCAGUCCAUCUUUCUAGUCUGGGAUUUUUUUUUUGCACACAUGCCGCAGGAAAGUUGGUUUUGGACCAAUGUUUUAGUUGCACAAAUAUGUGCUUCUUUUUGCACAAACAGUACACCUAGUCCAUCUUUCUAGUCUGGGCCAUCAUACAGUUGAGAUUAGUACUUUUUCUGGAGAACUCAAUGCAGCUAGUAUUUUCAACAGCAUCAGCGUCAUUUUUAUAAACUCGGUUUUUGGUUUGGUGACGGUGUGAUGAUUUUUUUUCUCUCGUCAUGCAAGUGUUGAAUAACUAUUUUUCUGACUUGGUAUCCUCAAGAUUUCUUGUUGCACAAGAGUAUCCAUUUAGUUGGCAUCCUCAGCAUUUCUAGUUUUAAGGAACAAUAUAUAACUAGUUGACAUCCUCAGUUUUUCUAGUUGCACAACAGUAUAUAAUUUAGUCCCAUCUCCAAAAAAAUUGAGGGUUGCCAAAGAGUAUCUUUGGCACCCUCAGACUUUAUACUUGCACAGUAGUAUCUAAUUAGUCGGCAUCCUCAGCAAUUCUAGUUACACAAUACUUUUCUAACUAGUUGACAUACUCAAGACUUUUUCUAGUUGCACAAGAGUAUGUAUUUAGUUGGCAUCCUUAGCAUUUCUAGUUGCACAAUACUUUUCUAACUAGUUGACAUACUCAAGACUUUUUCUAGUUGCACAAGAGUAUGUAUUUAGUUGGCAUCAUUAGCAUUUCUAGUUGCACAGAGAACAUAAUACUGUGUUGGCAUCCUACAAUUUAUACAGUACCUACAAUUUAUUGAACAUUUUUUCUAUCUACAAUGUGUAGGUCUAUGAUUCAGACAGUAGCUACAUGAAAAGAAGGGCAUGAUUUUCUGCAGAUCAAUGCAAGUGAACAUAUCAAGCAAGGUCUGCUACAGCAACUUCAAAGAUAGAAGCAAAAUCAGAUUUCAACUAUAAUUGUCUAUAGCUAUUUUAGUUAGAUUUGCACAUUUAGAUCAACGGUUUGAUGGCAGUGUGUUUCAAAUUUGUGAUGGCAGUGUGUGAACCUAUUUUUCUAAGAACUAUAUUUGCAGAUUGUUUUUUAUUAGAACAUAUCGUCUAUUGCUCGUCAUCGUAUAUUGUUUGUCUUCUUCCAGAUUUUUCAAGUUCCUGCCAAGGUUGCACAGUUUUGACCCAUUUUAUAUUUCCAGUUUCACAGUUCCUGCUUAUAGUUGGAUGCUAGAACGGGGUUAGUUGCACAAAAUAGGUUUAGUGUUGUAUAAUCUAUUGAGUUGGCACACAACACUCAUUCAGUUGACUAC